CGGAACGCUGGCGGCGUGCCUUAACCACAUGCAAGUCGAACGGGAUUCGGAAGCUUGCUCCGAUGAGAGUGGCGCACGGGUGAGUAACGCGUGGAUAAACCUGCCCUGGUAUCUGGAAUAAAUAACAUCUCGAAAGGGGUGCUAAUACCGGAUAGCUUACGGGAACCUCGGUUUCUGUGAGAAAAGGUGGCUUCGGCUACCGUAUCAGGAUGGGGUCCGCGUACCAUUAGCUAGUUGGUGGGGUAAUGGCCUACCAAGGCGACGAUGGUUUAGCUGGUCUGAGAGGAUGAUCAGCCACACUGGAACUGAGACACGGUCCAGACUCCUACGGGAGGCAGCAGUGGGGGAAUUUUUGCGCAAUGGGGGAAACCCUGACGCAGCAACGCCGCGUGAGUGAUGAAGGCCUUCGGGUCGUAAAGCCUCUGUCAGUGGGGAAGAAAAGGUAACGGUUAAUACCCGUUGCCCCUGACGGUACCCACAAAGGGAAGCAACCGGCUAACUCCCGUGCCAGCAGCCGCGGUAAUACGGAGGGUGCAAAGCGUGUUUCGGAUUUAUUGGGCGUAAAAGCGCGUGUAGGCGGUUUCUUAAGUCUGAUGUGAAAGCCCCGGGCUCAACCCGGGGAAGUGCAUUGGAUACUGGGAGACUUGAAUACGGGAGAGGGUAGUGGAAUAAUUCCUAGUGUAGGAGUGAAAUCCGUAGAUAUUAGGAGGAACACACGGUGGCGAAAGGCGCGGCUACCUGGACCGAUAUUGACGCUGAGACGCGAAAAGCGUGGGGAGCAAACAGGAUUUAGAUACCCUGGUAGUCCACGCCGGUAAACGAUGAGAACUAGGUUGUUGCGGGUAUUGGACCCCUGCAGUGGCCGCAGCUAACGCAUUAAGUUUCUCCGCCUGGGAAGUACGGUCGCAAGACUAAAACUUAAAGGAAUUGACGGGGGCCCGCACAAGCGGUGGAGCAUGUGGUUUAAUUCGACGCAACGCGCAGAACCUUACCUGGGCUUGACAUCUGCGGAACCUCAGUGAAAGCUGGGGGGUGCCUUCGGGAGCCGCAAGACAGGUGCUGCAUGGCUGUCGUCAGCUUCGUGUCGUGAGAUGUUGGGUUAAGUCCCGCAACGAGCGCAAGCCACCUUGUUUGCUGUUGCCCAUCCAACGUUAUGGUGGGCACUCUGCAAAGACUGCCGGUGAUAAACCGGAGGAAGGUGGGGAUGACGUCAAGUCGGCAUGGCCUUUAUGUUCUGGGGCUACCACACGUGCUACAAUGGCCGGUACAAAACCGUCGCGAUACCGUAAGGUGGAGCUAAUCGGAGAAAGCCGGUCUCAGUUUCGGAUAGGCAGGCUGCAACUCGCCUGCUUGAAGUUGGAAUCGCUAGUAAUCGCGGAUCAGCACGCCGCGGUGGAAUACGUUCCCGGGCCUUGUACACACCGCCCCGUCACAUCACGAGAGCCGGUUGUACUAGAAGGUCGCCAUAUACCAACCCGCAAGGGAGGGAGGCGCCUAAGGUAUGGUCGGUGAUUGGGGUG
rnacentral:rRNA from 1 species